CUUAAUGCAUGCAAGUCGAGCGAGAAGCAGUUGUUCCGUAAGGUUCGACUGUGGACAGCGGCGAACGGGUGCGUAACACGUGAGAAACCUGCCCCUCAGACCGGGAUAGCCCAGGGAAACUUGGAUUAAUACCGGAUACUCUCCUCGGACCACAUGGUCCGUUGAGGAAACAGUCCGCUGCUGAGGGAUGGUCUCGCGGCCUAUCAGGUAGUUGGUGAGGUAACGGCUCACCAAGCCGAAGACGGGUAGCUGGUCUGAGAGGACGAUCAGCCACACUGGAACUGAGACACGGUCCAGACUCCUACGGGAGGCAGCAGCAGGGAAUAUUGCACAAUGGGCGAAAGCCUGAUGCAGCGACACCGCGUGCGGGAUGAAGGCCUUCGGGUUGUAAACCGCUUUCAGGAGGGAAGAAACUGACGGUACCUCCAGAAGAAGCUCCGGCCAACUACGUGCCAGCAGCCGCGGUAAU
rnacentral:rRNA from 1 species